rnacentral:rRNA from 1 species
AUUGAACGCUGGCGGCAGGCCUAAUACAUGCAAGUCGAGCGAGCGGCGGACGGGUGUGUAACGUAUGGAGCUCUGCCCUAUAGCUGGGGAUACUUACUGGAAACGGUGGCUAAUACCGCAUACUAUCGGAUGAUCCCAUAUGGGAGUAGCUAGUAGGUGGGGUAAAGGCUCACCUAGGCGACGAUCUAUAGCUGGUCUGAGAGGAUGAUUAGCCACACGGGGACUGAGACACGGUCCAGACUCCUACGGGAGGCAGCAGUGGGGAAUAUUGCACAAUGGGCGAAAGCCUGAUGAAGCCAUGCCGCGUGUGUGAAGAAGGCCUUAGGGUUGUAAAGUACUGUCAGCAGGGAGGCGUUACCCGAAGAGGAAGCACCGGCUAACUCCGUGCCAGCAGCCGCGGUAAUUC